AGGCCUACCGUUACUGUACAUAGUGUUGAUCUCUGCUGGAUCUGCUGGAUCUCUGAUGAUUGUUGCUGUAGUCGUGAUCUUCUGCAUCUGUAAGAAAUGUAGAAAAACAGUCGAGACCGAGGAGGAAGACAGAACUCAUUCAGCAUUGUGCAAACCAACAACACGACAAAAGAAAUCGAAGACGGAGUCUGUGUAUGAAAAUGUCCCCAAAAAACGAUGAUCAAACAUCAUAUCUACUUGAACUUUUGUUAGAGCUCAU